GACGAACCGUGCGAACGUUGUUCGGAAUCACUGGGCUUAAAGGGCGCGUAGGCGGGCCAUCAAGUCAAGGGUGAAAUCCUGUGGCUCAACCGUAGAAGUGCCCCUGAUACUGAUGGCCUCGAGGGAGGUAGGGGCGUGCGGAACUUCCGGUGGAGCGGUGAAAUGCGCAGAUAUCAGGAAGAACACCCGUGGCUAAGGCGGCUCUCUAGUACGGUACUGACGCUGAGACGCGAAAGCGUGGGGAGCGAACAGG
rnacentral:rRNA from 1 species